CAAUAGCGUAUAUUAAAGUUGUUGCAGUUAAAAGCUCGUAGUUGGAUUUCUGGGAGAGUGCCAAUGUCCGCCGACGUGCGUGCGCAGCGGCGCUCUUUCAUCCUUCUGUUAACGGCUCUUGGCAUUCAUUUGCUGGUGUCGGGCUCAGAUAUUUUACCUUGAGAAAAUUAGAGUGUUUCAGGCAGGCUAGGCCGGAAUACAUUAGCAUGGAAUAAUGGAAUAGGACUACGGUCUCUUUGUUGGUUUGAGGGACUGCAGUAAUGAUUAAUAGGGACAGUUGGGGGCAUUCGUAUUUCAUUGUCAGAGGUGAAAUUCUUGGAUUUAUGAAAGACGAACUUCUGCGAAAGCAUUUGCCAAGGAUGUUUUCAUUAAUCAAGAACGAAAGUUGGAGGCUCGAAGACGAUCAGAUACCGU
rnacentral:rRNA from 1 species